rnacentral:misc_RNA from 1 species
GUAACAAGGUUUCCGUAGGUGAACCUGCGGAAGGAUCAUUACUGAUUUGCUUAAUUGCACCACAUGUGUUUUUCUUUGAAACAAACUUGCUUUGGCGGUGGGCCCAGCCUGCCGCCAGAGGUCUAAACUUACAACCAAUUUUUUAUCAACUUGUCACACCAGAUUAUUACUUAAUAGUCAAAACUUUCAACAACGGAUCUCUUGGUUCUCGCAUCGAUGAAGAACGCAGCGAAAUGCGAUACGUAAUAUGAAUUGCAGAUAUUCGUGAAUCAUCGAAUCUUUGAACGCACAUUGCGCCCUCUGGUAUUCCGGAGGGCAUGCCUGUUUGAGCGUCGUUUCUCCCUCAAACCGCUGGGUUUGGUGUUGAGCAAUACGACUUGGGUUUGCUUGAAAGACGGUAGUGGUAAGGCGGGAUCGCUUUGACAAUGGCUUAGGUCUAACCAAAAACAUUGCUUGCGGCGGUAACGUCUACCACGUAUAUCUUCAAACUUUGACCUCAAAUCAGGUAGGACUACCCGCUGAACCUAAGCAUAUCA